AAAAUUUGAGCAAGAGUGCUUCUUUGUAACAGCCCUCUUCCUACUUCUCAUUCGGGGAAGGAUAAUAUCCUUGAGGUAACACUCUGAAUAGGGAUAUUAUCGCCGAAGCGUGAAGUGGUGUAUACACUUCUGGACGCUGGCUAGUCAUCCUGAUCCUGAACAAGCAAGAUCCUUCGCCGGAUUUUGUAUAAUAUCUCUUUGACGAGGUAUUCAACCUGUUUGUUCAGGACGGACACAGAUUAGCUUCUGUUUUAAAAGGAGAAAUCCUCAGAAAAGGAGUAGUAAAAUACUCUCUCUUCGUUUCAACCAAUCAAAAGAAUCCCGGAAGGAAUUCAACAAACAAAUCCAAAGAUCUACUCGGAAAACGAAUAGGAGCAACAUUCUGUUUUGGAAGCAAAAAGAUUUCAAGAUCUUGGAAAAGAUUGACACAGCCAGAAGAAAUUAUCAUUGCUGAUCAAUCAAAACACUACAUGCACUUUGUAGUACAAAAUCUUGUAAUCCAAAUUGCUGGAUAUGAUUUUAUCAUACCAUCAGUAUAUUUGCAUGAAUCAGGUUUAGAUAUCAUUUUAGGAAACAAUUUUCUAAAAUUAUAUGAACCAUUCAUUCAAAGAAAAAUUAUUGUUCAACUUGGUUGGAAAAAUCUUUCAAAUCCAACUGAAAGAAAACUUGUUCCUACAAACAUCAUUACAAGAAACGAGAUACUUUACUCUUAACUCAAUCAUCUUUUUCAAGACAAUUGAGAUAAGGCUUAAAGAUUCAUUUGCGGAAAUCAAUGUCCCAAAUAGGAUUCCUUAUACAAUAAGAGAUGUA